rnacentral:lncRNA from 1 species
UGGCUGGCAAUAAAAAAAGAAGAAUUGUGCUGAUGUUUUGGGCUUUAUCGGGCUAUUAUAGAACUGUGCUUUUAAUCCGUCGCCCCUUUUUCUUAGCAUAUUUUAAUACAAACUAGGUCAAAGAGUUUUUUUUUCUGGCGUAAAUUAUUACUUGAAGAAAGAAGAAGAUGAAUUGUGUUGAUGUAUUGGGCUUUAUUUCCACAGUGGUUGAGGAAACAAGAACUUCGACUGAAUAACCAUAAGUAGUAAUUUUUGGGAUCAACAACCAUAACUAUUAAUGAAGUGAAUGAUUACAUAAAUGAAGAAAUUAAUCAAGAAGAUGAUAAACUCCAAUGCAAGGAAUCUCGGGAUCGCUGGAAUCCUAAACAAUAUUUCUCUUCUUUCUCUUCGGUUUAAUGUUAUCAUGUUUAAGUCUAUCCCUAGAUCAACUAAUGUUAUUGUUGACUCAAUAGCGAAUAUGAGUUUUUUUUAACUUAUAUUGAGUUUUUGGCCACUAAAAUCUAAUGAAUUUGGCCAAAAUCACUCACUGAUUUGCAUUGAAUUUUGUUUGAUCCGGUAGAACUAGUCAGCAUGGAGAUUUUAGUGCCCGAUCAGCGAGUUAGAGGGUCCAGAGAAACAACGUCAUUCCGGUCUGAGGUCUAGGUCCCAAAUGAUAUAGGAUAAUUUCUACAUAAGCUGCAGUGUUAUGCUUAGUCAGUUGUAUUGAG